CAGUGGGGAAUCUUGGGCAAUGGGCGCAAGCCUGACCCAGCCAUGCCGCGUGUGCGAAGAAGGCUCUAGGGUUGUAAAGCACUUUCAGUGGUGAAGAAAAGCUCGGGGUUAAUACCCCCGGGUCUUGACGUUAGCCACAGAAGAAGCACCGGCUAACUCCGUGCCAGCAGCCGCGGUAAUACGGAGGGUGCGAACGUUAAUCGGAAUUACUGGGCGUAAAGGGCGCGUAGGCGGUCCGGCAAGUGGAUUGUGAAAGCCCCGGGCUUAACCUGGGAAUUGCGGUCCAAACUGCUGGACUGGAGUAUGGUAGAGGGAGACAGAAUUUCCUGUGUAGCGGUGAAAUGCGUAGAUAUAGGAAGGAAUACCGAUGGCGAAGGCAGUCUCCUGGACCAAUACUGACGCUGAGGCGCGAAAGCGUGGGGAGCAAACAGGAUUAGAUACCCUGGUAGUCCACGCCGUAAACGAUGAGAACUAGCCGUUGGGAUCCUUGAGGUCUUAGUGGCGCAGCUAACGCGAUAAGUUCUCCGCCUGG
rnacentral:rRNA from 1 species